rnacentral:tRNA from 1 species
GGCUCUGUAGCAUAGUGGAUUAUGCGCCUCCCUGUCUAGGAGAAAAACGCCAGUUCGAGUCUGGUCAGAGUCGCCA